CCUACGGGAGGCAGCAGUGAGGAAUAUUGGUCAAUGGGCUUACGCCUGAACCAGCCAAGUCGCGUGAGGGAAGACUGCCCUAUGGGUUGUAAACCUCUUUUGUCAGGGAGCAACUUCCGCUACGUGUAGCUGUACCGAGAGUACCUGAAGAAAAAGCAUCGGCUAACUCCGUGCCAGCAGCCGCGGUAAUACGGAGGAUGCGAGCGUUAUCCGGAUUUAUUGGGUUUAAAGGGUGCGUAGGCGGAAUGCCAAGUCAGCGGUAAAAGCGCGGGGCUCAACCUCGCUCCGCCGUUGAAACUGGCGUUCUUGAGUGGGCGAGAAGUAUGCGGAAUGCGUGGUGUAGCGGUGAAAUGCAUAGAUAUCGCGCAGAACUCCGAUUGCGAAGGCAGCAUACCGGCGCCCAACUGACGCUGAGGCACGAAAGCGUGGGUAUCGAACAGGAUUAGAUACCCGGGUAGUC
rnacentral:rRNA from 1 species